UACGUAGGGUGCGAGCGUUAAUCGGAAUUACUGGGCGUAAAGCGUGCGCAGGCGGCGACAUAAGACAGAUGUGAAAUCCCCGGGCUCAACCUGGGAACUGCGUUUGUGACUGUGUUGCUAGAGUGUAGCAGAGGGGGGUGGAAGUACACGUGGAGCAGUGAAAUGCGGAGAUCGGUGGAGGAAAACCGAUGGCGAAGGCAGCCCCCUGGGUUAACACUGACGCUCAUGAACGAAAUCGUGGGGAGCCAACAGGAUUAGAUACCCCGGUAGUCC
rnacentral:rRNA from 1 species